AUUUUACUAAUUUCCCAUACUAAUAAUAGUUGUAUUUUUAAAUAGGUACAGCAUAUCACAUUUCAAAGCAGCCAGUAAUUUUAACCCUUGUCAUCUGUACACAUAAAUUGAGAUGCCUCAAAAUGAUUCUCGCAAAUUAGCAGAUAUUUGCAUUGGCUGUCUUUUAACCGGUCAAUGCCGGCUCUUCUUAUGUUGCAGAUCCACUUCCGAAGUCUGUACAUGAUCAUCUACAUGUGUCAUGUGAUGUG